UGAUUAGACUCACCUGGUUCGUCCAUCACAUCUCCUUUGAUUCUAAGCUUCCUGGUUCCCAACUCCUGGUCUCAUCAUGUUUUAACUAUCCUCAAAUCAACAUGACGCAGGAGUCAAAACACCCAAAGACGACUGGUUCUACUGUCUGUGUGAAGAAUGACCUCCUCUGUUUGUCUACAAGCUAUUUACUUGACCUAAAAUGGAAAAUGUCAAAAGGUCAAGGAAAAACUGGAGGAAGAAAUGACGAGGACUUAACUACACAACAAAGAAAAUCCUGCUGCUCUGCAGUGGUAAUGGCUCUGUUGGAGAGAAAUGUUUCUAAAAAUGAGCAACAGAAGAAAAAAAAAUAAAAUAUUAGUUCCUAA